UUCUCAAAAGUUCUGCUCCGUAUGUUGUGUAAUCUUCAAUAUAAAAAGACGACCCCCUAUGCAUUUUCCUUCAUUAUUUCUAAUGAAUCCUCCGUAUCCUGCUUUCUUAUACUGGAGCCAUAAGUAUUUAGUCACCCAGUUUUGAGAUGAGGAUUCUACUUAACGAUCUCACACUGAGAUUGCAGUGGCCUUUCAUAGCAUUAUUCAUGUAUUUUCCUAUUCCUCCAAUUUCACAUCUUCCAAGUUGCUGUAAUAAAGAUGUCCAUCCAAUUACUCUUCCCUCUCAGUGUUAUUCUUUAAAGUUCAUCUCGACCCAUUGUUCAAGGUUGGCUUCAAAGAAAACUUGGUUAUAGCUCGGGUCUAAUAGGCUUAACCAAAUUGGGGAUAUUUUCUUACAGUUUCUCAUGGCAUGUAAAAUGUCCUCUUCUUGAUUUGGACAGAAAGCGCAGUCACCUUCCCCACCAAACAGUUUCUUCUUUCUCUGGUUCGUGAAGAUGUGGACGUGCAUCAAUCUCCACAUGAAGGUCUUUCCUUUUCGGGGUCUUUUCCACUUCCACAUAGUGGUCUAGAUAGUUGAUGUUGGUUGCUUCCACUCUGCUAGGACUUUGUAGGUGGAUGCAGUGGAAAAGGUUCCAUCCUUUAAGUGGAUCCAACCCAUUCAGUCAUCGUCACUGUAACUUCUCGGAGGAGGGUGUGCCACAAUUUUUCCACAAAUAUUUUCAGGCAGAGUUCCAAUCCUCUCCACCCAAUUGUUAUACCAGAAGCUCGUUGAAUCUCCGUUUUCCAUAAAAAUGAUGGUGUAGUUUUGGAAUUUCGGCCAAAGUCAAACAAGCUCUUUCCAUAGGUAUUUUCUAGAUGAAAUUCAGGGAGCUGAGCAAAAAUCUUAUUCAGGCUAAAAAAGGACUGCUGAUGCUGUUGGAUUCUGACCUCCCUACUCUCGGAAUGGAUUUUUUGGAGCUACAGGAGUCCAAUUGGCGCGCUCUCAAUUGGGUUAGAAAGUAGACAUCCAGGACUUUCCAGCAAUAUAUAAUAGUCCAUACUUUGCUCAAAGAUAAACGACGUAAACUGGCGUUUAACGCUAGUUCCAUGUUCCAUUCUGGCGUUAAACGCCAGAAACAGGUUACCAGUUGGAGUUAAACACCCAAAACAGGUUACAACCUGUUGUUUAACUCCAGAAACAGCUCAGGCACGUGAAAAUCUCAAGUCUCAGCCCCAGCAUACACCAAGUGGGCCCCAAAAAUGGAUUUCUGCACUAUCUAUCUUAGUUUACUCAUUUUCUGUAAACCUAGGUUACUAGUUUAGUAUUUAAACAACUUUUAGAGAUUUAUUUUGGAUCUCAUGACAUUUUAGAUCUGAACUUUGUACUCUUUGACGGCAUGAGUCUCUAAACUCCAUUGUUGGGGGUGAGGAGCUCUACUGUGUCUCAAUGAAUUAAUACAAUUAUUUCUGUUUUCUAUUCAAA